rnacentral:misc_RNA from 1 species
UAAGCCUUAGCUGGAGCUAAACUGCCAAAGGUUCAGCAAAUACAAGUCAUGAUGUCAACUGGAUAAGAUACAAAUUGCAAAAGGUAAAGCUAAUUAAAGGUUACAUUAUAAAAGAAAUUUGUAUAAAUUCCAUUUACAGAGUAAACCCAGAAAAUAAAAAUCACAACCUUCAUAACUUGGUAGAAUGGCAACUAUAUAAUGUUGAAAUCAGUUGACACAAACAAAUAAAUAGACAGUCAAGCACAAUGCACAAUGAGCUAUAACUCAUAGAUUAGGCAUAAUUCAUCUUAACCAAAAGAGAAAAGGAAAACGGACAAGAAAAAUGAAAGAUAUAUAAAGUGAAGAACUUAUGCAGACGUCUAGGAACUCACACCCAUAUUAUGUCCAUAAUCAGAGAAAUUAUUCAGCCUAGAUGCAAAGCCAAUGCCAUUAAGUCCAACCAAAACACCAAAGCAUAUGUCACAAAUUGGGAAACAUCUUUUAACACAUUUUGUAUGCUUGUGGACAUGUAUUAAAUAUAUGUUAAAGAAGAAGAAGAGUAUUGAGACAAACUUUCAUUCUUUAAGAGAGAUCUGGAAAAAAAAAGGAUUGAAGGCAUAAGUUUUCAUUCUUUCAGUUAUUGCCUCUGAAUUUGAUGCAAAAAGUAAAGAUGUUAAUCUAAUGAAAUUACUAUAACCACUGACCAUUUAACGCUCAAAUUGUAUACCAAGUACUGGCUCAAAAUAAUUGUGUAUACUGUAUCAGUUGGUAACAAUAUACCUACCAACAAAUAGACUGGUAACACCAAUACUUAAUUUAUCAAACUCAUGGGAAUGCCUAACAUGGAUCAUUUUUCUUCAUUCAGCUCUUGUUAAGGUCAAACUUUCUAGUAGUUCUAGUCCCUAGUUUUUCUCCUUCUAAUCUUCUACAACAUCAAGUCACUCACUAGAAGAACCAGUAAACUAGGAACAAUAUUACCCUAUCGUAGGUAAAGCAUUCUCACUUGAUAUACCAGAAGAAGCCAAGAAAAUCAAACAUUAAUUAAUAAAUGGAUCACCUUGAUCGAGAACAACCUAUGUGAUCCAUUCAUGUAUGCUUUCUGAGAAUUCUUCUAUUGAACAAUAAAUUGUAUUCAGAAGAUGUUACUUUCACUUGAAACUAUUAGAAAAGGAAGUUUUCUUGUGGACCAAAGGAAUGAUAACAUCAGGUGAGAAUCACGUCUAUGGUGGUGAAAAACCUUGUAACAAUUGGCUGUGCACUGCAUACUUUAUAUCCCCCUUGAAAGAUACAGCAGGCUCCAUGGACAUAGGCAUUUUGCCAAGCCACACAUUUAUGUGUCGCUUCUCUUUUUCUCAAUCUUCUAUUUUUGUUUAAUUUCAUACAUGCCACGGCUUAAUUUUACACCACCAGCUAUCUUUCCAUUCAAUUAAAGGUUCAUACCAUAUCCCCACAAUCCCUCUUUGAGAACUGAAAGGAUAUGAAAGUAGAAAAAUCAUUGAUAUCAUCUGUCACUGAAAUGAUUAUUCCAAAGUCCUUCACUAGACUCCAAACAAAAACAAAUUAUUUGCCAAGGUUCCUUAUUUGUGUUACCAGGUCAAUUAACCUAUUAAAAUUGGUAACUGCAAACUAGAAUAGUCAUAGACAAAAUAAGCAAAUGAAGACCCAUGCAGCCCUAGUUUAAAUGCAAUUGUAUCCAUCAAAACUUUACUAGCAGUAGACCCCAACUUAAGCAAACAUCAUGUAGUCACACCCACAGCAAUUCAGAAUUUGCUUUGUUCUUCAACUUUUCAGAAGGAAAGAACGUGGGAAAACCCAGAGGACAAUGACAAACUAUGGUGACCACAAGGUAACAACCAAUAAUUUUAAGGAUAAAUUAACCACAAAAAGCGAAUAUUGUAAUUCAAGCAGAUAAAACUUAAGGGAGAACUUGUCAUCUUAAUGGCUCCGUAGCGUUUUUAUGGAAACAGCUUUCUUAACAAAUCCAAGUUUUAGACCAUUUGAAGCAAAAUGACUACUCAAAACUCAAUCUCAUCAACAUAACCCAGUUAUAGGAAACAGUUUCAAUAAUCAAACAACAGGCAGAUGAAAGUACAGGGCAGCAAAGUGCCAGCCUGCUGGGAUAUACAAACAAAUUUUAACAUGCCAGAGUUCUUAAUGUAGCAAGCUUCAAGUAUCUAAAUGCAAUCUAGAGUCGACUAUACUAUUAGUGUGAACAUAUCAUCAACCUUGACAAUGACCUUAAAGAUUUAAAUAGAUCUCUUUUUUUCCAGUAACAAAACUUGGAAAUAAACCAGCAUUUACCUCAACCUAACUUCGACAAUAUAAAAGUCCACAAACAUCAAACAACCUCAAAACCUAAAGAGACCCAGAACAGAAGAAGCCUAAUUACCGAAGGGGAAAAUAAUCCCAGACUACUAAACACCAAAAAUCAACAAAAAAAACAAGUACCCAGAUGCCAAAACCCCAGAAAAAACAUGCAUCGCUAAGCACCCAUAUGAGAGAAACAAGAAUACAAAGCCCAAAAGCAACUGAUCCAACUUUGCCCAGCUGGAAAAGACCAAGAAAUCAACCUGUAAGCAGCCUACAAAGAGUUA